AAUUGUACUUUACGCCGUACUUGGGAGCCAUCAUCUAACAAAGGCAGAUCGGGAGUAGCGCAAACAGCACGUCAAAGAGGAAAACGUCUGCACUUGGCUUCUUGUCCUGGACAGAAUUGGGGGUCUAUUUGACCUUGGCAAUGACAAUCUCCGUCUGACCCCCUUCCCUUCUUGGAGACCAAGAUGACUUUUGGCUGAAGCAGAGCAUAAGUGGAAAUGUGCCAGGCUGAGCGAGUAAAGCCCCCAGCACGGUUGCACACUGGCUCGACUUUCACAGCCAGCGCCAAUGGAGAAGAGACCGUUUCCAGUGCCUCAGAACCUGCUGUGGACCGUCUCCUUCUUAUGGAAUUUCCUCCCCUCAAAAUAGAUACACUCUUUGCUUCACAGCCGUGAAACGAAAAAUUGAAAACAUGGGAAACGUCUCUGCAUGUCUGUGACUCUGGGCACCCUACACGAGUCUCCUCUAUCGGAUGAAGGUGUUUCUGCUAAAUGCUUCAAGCAGAGGCUACAAAUUGCACACCACUCUUAGAGACUGACCAUGACAAGUCAUUUAUCUGAGACUCCACAAAGUUACAAGGAUGGGCCUGUUGAGUGCUUUUUAGAGUUUACCGGGUGCAUCUGACCAUUGAACCUUUUCUCAGGUGACGUUCACGACUUCUUAGAGACAACCUUCCCUGGGAACUUAGUUUGGGGUGGUGCCACUGUAGAACGUGCAUUUAUGUCCAAGCUAGCUGGGUGGCUUACAUCUGUAAUCCCCGUACUGGGAGGCUGGGGCCUGAAAACUGUUGUGAGUUUGAACCUAGCCGAGGCUACACAGUGAGUCCCAGCUGGCCUGGCCUACAGAGUGAGAGUCUAUCUCCGGGGGUAGGGGGAUGGAAAUGCAUUUUUUUUAUAAUACACACUAACUAGUGACAUCUGCAAUAUUUUAAAUCAUUAACACGUUCUUCGGGAUGCAUUUUGAUUUUAUGUGUCUCAGUGUUUUGUCUGUAUGUCUGUGCAUCACAUGCAUGCAGUGCCUGCAAAGGCCAGAAGGGGGCGUCAGAGCCUCUGGAACUAGAGUUACAGACAGUUGUACCCAACCAUGUUGGGAACCAAACCUGGGUCAGAGCAGCCAGAGCUCUUGACUGAUGAACCCUCCCUCCAGGCCCUGUGUUGUGUUGUUAAAUUAUAAAAUAGGUUGUGAGAUGUCUUUAUUGUGUAAGAAAACUUUUGUUAAUAUAUUUUCAAUGUAAUGCACUCUUGAAUGGCUCAGGCUUGGAAUCUUUAUGAACCACAUCUUAAUUUUUAUUAUUAUCCUUAUAUGUGUUGUUAUUAUUAUCUUUAUAAUCUAUUUUUUAACUUCUUGAUAUUAUCUUUAUUGACUUUUAUAACAUUGUUAAAUGCAAUUUUCACCAAUAUACAUAAGUGGA